rnacentral:rRNA from 2 species
UUGGGGGGUCGGACCCACAGGCGGCGCAUGGUUGUCCUCAGCUCGUGUCGAGAGAUGUGGGGUUAAGUCCCGCAACGAGCACACCCUUUCUCUUUAUUCCCCAGCAUUAAGUUGGGCACUUUAAGGAGACUGCCGGUGACAAACCGGAGGAAGGUGGGGAUGACGUCAAAUCAUCAUGCCCCUUAUGACCUGGGCUACACACGUGCUACAAUGGAUGGUACAAAGGGCAGCGAAGCCGCGAGGUGAAGCGAAUCCCAUAAAACCAUUCUCAGUUCGGAUUGUAGGCUGCAACUCGCCUACAUGAAGCCGGAAUCGCUAGUAAUCGCGGAUCAGCAUGCCGCGGUGAAUACGUUCCCGGGCCUUGUACACACCGCCCGUCA